AGGUACCAAAGCCUUAUGAUGUGGUGUCCAGAAUAAAGUGGAAGGUUCACUUCAUUUGUCCUUCCUGCUCCAAUCUCCUUUUCCUCUCCUUCAUUUGACAGUCUUCUUUUUCUUCUGACACUGUUUUCUAUCCUUGGCCCCUUCUGCUCUUUUACCUUUCUGCUACUUUCUGCUUAUUUUGCACCCUUCUGUUCCUUUCUCAUUCUGAUCCCUUUCUGCUCCCUUUUCUACUUUACCUUUGUGCUCCUUGCUGUCCCUUUCUGCUCUUUCUCCUACUUUACCUUUGUGCUCCUUCUGAUUCUUUCUGCUCCUUUACCUUUGUGCUCCUUGCUGUCCCUUUCUGCCCCUUCCUGCUCCUUGCAGGCCCUUCCUGCUCAUUCUCCUACUUUACGUUUGUGCUCCUUCUGCCCCUUCCAGCUCAUUUCUGACCCUUUCUGUUCCUUCUACU